rnacentral:rRNA from 1 species
GACGAACGCUGGCGGCGUGCUUAACACAUGCAAGUCGAACGGAAAGGCCCUGCUUUUGUGGGGUGCUCGAGUGGCGAACGGGUGAGUAACACGUGCGUAACCUGCCCUUGCCUUUGGGAUAACUUCCGGAAACUGGGGCUAGUACAGAAUAGGUGCUCCUGCUGCAUGGCGUGGGUUGGAAAGUAUCGGCGGUUGGGGAUGGUAUGGCGGCUUAUCAGCUUGUUGGUGGGGUAGUGGCUUACGAAGGCUGUGACGGGUAGCCGGCCUGAGAGGGUGACCGGCCACAGUGGGACUGAGAUACGGGCAAUACUCAUACGGGAGGCAGCAGUGGGGGAUAUUGCACACUGGGCGGAAGCCGGAUGCAGCAACGCCGCGUGCGGGAUGACGGCUUUCGGGUUGGAAACCGCUUUCGCCGGUGACGAAGAGUGAGUGACGGUAAUGGGUAAAGAAGCACCGGCUAACUACGUG